rnacentral:antisense_RNA from 1 species
UUCAAUGGUGGCUGCGUGCGGGUGGUCUUCGGGCCAGCCGGGAAUCGACCUCCAAGCCCGGUCUUGCAGGCCCGCAUGUAGCCGCCACCCUA